AGAGUUGAUCCUGGCUUAGAACGAACGCUGGCGGCGCGUCUUAAGCAUGCAAGUCGGGCGGCAAGGAUGUGCUUGCACAUCCCUAGAGCGGCGGACUGGUGAGUAACGCGUGGGUGACGCACCCCCCGGACGGGGAUAGCCUGUGGAAACACAGGGUAAUACCGGAUACGGUUCCGUGAGCUGGAGUCACGGAAGGAAAGGAGCUUCGGCUCCGCCGGGGGAGCGGCCUGCGGCCCAUCAGCUUGUUGGCGGGGUAAAGGCCCACCAAGGCGACGACGGGUACCCGGCCUGAGAGGGCGACCGGGCACAUUGGGACUGAGAUACGGCCCAGACUCCUACGGGAGGCAGCAGCUAAGAAUAUUCCGCAAUGCGCGAAAGCGUGACGGAGCGACGCCGCGUGGACGAUGAAGGCCCGGAAGGUUGCAGAGUCCUUUGGCACGCGAGGAGGGAGCGGGGGAGGAAAUGAUCCCGCGGUGACUGUAGCGUGAGAACAGGCACCGGCUAAUUACGUGCCAGCAGCAGC
rnacentral:rRNA from 1 species